GAAGCCAGAGUUGGGGAAGAUCCAACGGCGUUGUCUCACGGAACUCACAGCCUGCAGCAGGGUCAGCCCUUGCCUCAGCAUGAGGGCCCAGGAACCUCCCUCUGGGAGCAAUAAUCCCAGCUCAUGUGUCUAUAACACAGCAAGAUUAAGGACGGCUCUUCUCACAACUUUGUGAGCUCCCACUGUCAUUCUGAGCCAAGAGGAGGGCUGGAACCGACUGCAACAGGCUGAGAAGGACUACAUUACCCUCUCCGACUCCAUUUUUUUUUUUGUCUUUCACUCAAAUUCCUGUAAUUUUCACCAUCUCCUAUCCCCUAAGCCUUCCUUAGCCCAGGCUGAGUUUCUGGGAGACUUUGGGAAGCUGCCCCAAACUCCUAGUUUCUAAGUCCAGUUUUUUUUCUUCUAGGAGUGCUGUGUCCCACUGUCCCACCUAGGACCUGUCCCCCACCCCACCCCACCCCACCCCCCAUGGUCUUGUACAUCUAGGCACUCCUUGCUGUAAAGACUUCCUCCUAAAACAGGCUCCCUUCCUCUCCUCCCUCCCUCCGCCUGCACAACUGCAUUUUCUUAUCCCCAAAGACCACUCACGCA